UAAGGAAUAUUGGACAAUGGGGGCAACCCUGAUCCGGCCAUGCCGCGUGAAGGAUUAAGGCCCUAUGGGUCGUAAACUUCUUUUAUAAGGAAAAAAACCCCUUUACGUGUAGAGGGUUGAUGGUACUUUAUGAAUAAGGGUCGGCUAACUUCGUGCCAGCAGCCGCGGUAAUACGAAGGACCCGAGCGUUAUCCGGAUUUACUGGGUUUAAAGGGUGCGUAGGUGGACCUAUAAGUCAGUGGUGAAAUCCUGCAGCUUAACUGCAGAACUGCCAUUGAUACUGUUGGUCUUGAGUAUAGUUGAGGUAGGCGGAAUAUGUCAUGUAGUGGUGAAAUACUUAGAUAUGACAUAGAACACCGAUUGCGAAGGCAGCUUGCUAAGCUAUAACUGACACUGAUGCACGAAAGCGUGGGGAGCAAACAG
rnacentral:rRNA from 1 species